rnacentral:lncRNA from 1 species
CAAUACGAGCUUUAAUCUCCAAUUUCACGUGACUGUACAAGGAAACAUUUACAGUGCUUUGGUAAUUCUCUAUUUACAUUUGCUUGCAGGGGCGGUUCAUUCCCCCUUAUCCUCAAUGCUGGCCAGAUGCGUUUUUGCACCAGAACAGUAAAAAAAAAAAAAAAAAAAAGGCAGAAAACUCUGCAAUUAUCAUUAUUUUUUACUUCUUACUGGGCCAAUUUGGGGGGAGGGUCGUUUUUCAGGUGGUUUAAAUAGCUUAUUAUGGCAGCUUUAAUUAUUAUUAUUAUUAUUUUUGGGGGGAAAAACUCCUUGCCUCUUGAGCAAGGGCCUUCUCCCCAUCUGGAGAUCAAUUCUCAAAGAGAAUUGCCGGUAAACCCAACAUCCAUAUUUUAUCUUCCCCGUUCCCAACACAGCAACAAACCCCCCACUAACCCUCUUCACCGACUUACUACAUGCUUCUUCUGCGCUUCCCACCGUGACUGCGUCUUUCGACGCCUUUCAAAAGACUUUGUCCUUUCUCUCGCAAACUGUCCCUUUUUUUUUUUUAUCCCUUCGUUUUAUCCUUCCUUCCUUCCUUCUCUUCCAGCAGUUCACAUUCAGACCGCUGGGGUUAUUUUUCUCCCCCCACUGCUAUUCGUCCCAACAAACUUCGCUUUUACUCCUUAUUUAAGAGAGCCGAUUCCCCGACCACCGGAGCUCCACUUUUUGACAACCGAGAGGCAAGUUUCUUUCAAGAGAUUCCCCGAAUCCCGGAUCCGUUGGGAAGGUGGGAUCAACCGGCCUGUUUUUUUCCCUCCUUCCCUGCGACUGCAGUGCCUCCCAGUUAAUCUAUGGCUUGGUUUCCACCGGAUUUCCAAGGGUCUGAAUUGGCUUUUCGGUCUGGAAUCACAAAUAGUAUACAUACCAGCACUCAUGCAUCAAGAAAAGGGAGUGGGGAGACGGGGGGAGAAAGGGUGGGAGGGUCCCGUAUCGAGAAAGAAACGACACAGGACUCAAAAGUACAAAAGGAAGGGUCUACAAAAGUAUUCAAAUAAUAUUUAAAAAAACAAAAACAAAAACAAGAUUAAAUACGUGGCGUAGCAAUUCCGCAGAAGGGAAAGCACACCACCGAGUGUAGAAUUCCAGUCGUUCAAAUGGAAACGUCUUGAACC